rnacentral:rRNA from 1 species
AAUAUUGGACAAUGGGUGCAACCCUGUUCCAGCCAUGCCUUGUGUGUGAAGAAGGUCUUCUGUUUGUAAAGCACAUUAUGUUGGGAGGAAAGGCUUUAGGUUAAUACUCUGAAGUUUUGACGGCACCAACAGAAUCAGCACCGGCUAACGCUGUGGUAGCAGCCGCGGUCAUACAGCGGGUGCAAGCGUUAAUCGGAAUUACUGGUCGUAAAGCGCGCGUAGGUGGUUCAGUAAGAUGGGUGUGAAAUCCCCGGGCUUAACCUGGGAACUGCUUUCAUAACUGCUGAGCUAGAGUACGGUAGAGGGUAGUGGAAUUUCCUGUGUAGCGGUGAAAUGCGUAGAUAUAGGAAGGAACACCAGUGGCGAAGGCGACUACCUGGACUGAUACUGACACUGAGGUGCGAAAGCGUGGGGAGCAAAC